rnacentral:lncRNA from 1 species
UUUCAGGCACAAAGACAUGGGCCAUAAGAGCACACAGAGAAUGGCCGGGCACGGUAGCCCCAGUCUCUACUAAAAAUACAAAAAAUUAGCUGGGCAUGGUGGCAUGUGCCUGUAAUCCCAGCUACUCCGGAGCCUGAGGCAGGAGAAUCGCUUGGACCUGGGAGGCGGAGGUUGCAGUGAGCAGAGAUGGCGUCACUGCACUCCAGACUGGGCGACAGAGCAAGACUCCUUCUCAAAAAAAAAAAAAAAAAAAAAGCACCCAGAGAAAUUGCGACACCCCCCACUGCAGGCCAAGAGGAGUGCCCUCUGAAUGAAACCCACCUCAACGGCAGCUUGAUCUCAGACUUCCAGUCUCCAGAACUGUCAAACUUGUCGCAGCCAACGUCGCUGCGAGGGACGCUGCCUGGCAGGGAACAGGGGAAGUUGAGGAAGGCGGACCGGCGUCCCUGUUCAUCAGUGGGGAAUCUUGGGGAGACAGAGGCCUCCGAAGCGUGGACGCUCCAGCCUGUUGCCGCCGCUCCCAAGGCCGCCGUGGACCAGCCCUGGAGCCGCUAACACGAUUUCCCAGGGAGCCGCGUCCCCGCAUCACCCAGCAGGAGCUGCAGGCGACAGGGACGCUCUCGCCGUCCCGCCCGGUCCUCUCUUGCCCACUAGAAGGGCUUCAUGGAGCGGCUGCUUCCCCCUCCCAAUCCCAGGAGAAAAGGGGCGCAGGGAUAAAGGCAGAGGCUCAGGGACUAUACAGGAGUUUUUCUGGGGAAUGUUAAGGAGAAAGGUGCAAAACAGCUGAAGCUUUCAGGACUGGAUGGGGAGGAAAAAGGAUUUUAAAAAGCUUUACUGGCCGGGCGCGGUGGCUCACGUUUGUAAUCCCAGCACUUUGGGAGGCCGAGGAGGGCAGAUCACCUGAGGUCAGGAGUUCCAGACUAGCCUGGCCAACAUAGUGAAACCCCGUCUCUACUAAAAAUACAAAAAUUAGCUGGGCGUAGUGGCGGGCACCUGUAAUCCCAGCUGCUCGGAAGGAUGAGGUAGGAGAAUCGUUUGAACCUGAGGCAGAGGUUGUAGUGAGCCAAGAUCGCGCCACUUGCUUCAGGCAGUAGUCUGGGGGCGUAGAAAGGAAGGCUUGGGAGGAUGUGGUGGGCAGAAUAGAAUCCCCCAAAGAUAUGCAUGCUGUAAUCCUGGGAACUUGUGGAUAUGUUACCUUAUAUGGCAAAAGCGACUUUCCACAGGAUUAAAGUUAUGGACCUCGAAGCAGGGCGCAGGUUGGAGUGAAUGGUUAUCCUUGAUUACCCAGGUGGGCCCUGUCUAAUCACAGGAGUCUGAGAACGUGACAUUGAGAACCUUUUAGGUUAGGUCAGAGAGAGAUAAGGAAGAUAGAGAGAGAGAGAGAGAGAGAGAGAGGAGAGAGAGAGAGAGAGAGAGAGAGAGAGAGAGAGAGAGAGAGAGAGAGAUGAAAUGAGCAGGAUUUUGCGACCUGUUGAAGCCUUUAAUGGGGAGGUAAGGAGACUCAAGCCAAGGAAGGUGGGCAGCCUCUAGAAGCUGGAAAAGUGGAGAAAGAAUUCUCCCCAAAGCCUCCGUAAGGAAACACAGCCCUGCCAACUCCUUGAUUUCAGUCCAGUGAAAGUUGUGUGGGAUUUCUGCCCUCCAUAUCUGGCACAUAAGUUAUCUAUAUCUAUCUUAGGAUAUAGAGUAGGUGCUUAAUGCAUACUUGUUUAAUGGAAAAAAGUGAAUAAAAAUAACAGUUGGAUUAAAUAAAUUCACAGUAAACUGCAAAUGGAAAGUAACCCCUUCAUUCCUGUAGGGCUGGCUGUAGUUUUCUAAGCGUAUGUUUUAAACCCAAUUGGCUCUAAUGGGAGGAAGUCUGGGCUCACAGUGAAGUGAGGAGGGUCAAGAAUGGCCAGGAGGGAUCCUGAAUUUGGUCCAACAUGACUUUCCAGUGAGUGUGCCCUUAGGAGUCUGUGCCCCUCUGUUAUUUUUGCCUCUUCUCUUCCUCUCUCUGCUGGAACUUACAGCUUUUCUCAAAGGGUCCUAUUUUGUGCAUGACUAUUUCUGCCUUCAUAAGACAAAAAGCAGAGGAGGGCAGUGAGGGAGGAGAGUUCCAGAGUAGGCAAGAGGGCACCUGCAGGGCACCCGCUGAGACUCAGGGCAGAUGC